rnacentral:rRNA from 1 species
CUACGGGAUGCACCAGUGGGGAAUUUUGCGCAAUGGGGGGAACCCUGACGCAGCAACGCCGCGUGAGUGAAUAAGCAUCUAGGUGCGUAAAACUCUGUCGUCGAGGACUAAGGUACAGUGGUUAAGAGCUGUUGUACUUGAAUUUACUCGAAGAGGAAGCCCCGGCUAACUUCGUGCCAGCAGCCGCGGUAAUACGAGGGGGGCAAGCGUUAUUCGGAAUUACUGGGCGUAAAGGGCGCGUAGGCGGCCUGUUAAGUGAGAAGUGAAAGCCCCGGGCUCAACCCGGGAAUUGCUUCUCAUACUGGCAAGCUAGAGUAUGGGAGAGGGGAAUGGAAUUCCCGGUGUAGCGGUGAAAUGCGUAGAGAUCGGGAGGAACACCAGUGGCGAAGGCGGUUCUCUGGACCAUUACUGACGCUGAUGCGCGAAAGCGUGGGGAGCAAACAGGAUUAGAUACCCCCGUAGUC